rnacentral:rRNA from 1 species
UAUUGGUCAAUGGAGGGAACUCUGAACCAGCCAUGCCGCGUGCAGGAUGACUGCCCUAUGGGUUGUAAACUGCUUUUGUCCAGGAAUAACCCCCACUACGUGUAGUGGCUUGAAUGUACUGGAAGAAUAAGGAUCGGCUAACUCCGUGCCAGCAGCCGCGGUAAUACGGAGGAUCCGAGCGUUAUCCGGAUUUAUUGGGUUUAAAGGGUGCGUAGGCGGCUCAUUAAGUCAGGGGUGAAAGACGGCAGCUCAACUGUCGCAGUGCCUUUGAUACUGAUGAGCUUGAAUGUGGUUGAAGAUGGCGGAAUGAGACAAGUAGCGGUGAAAUGCAUAGAUAUGUCUCAGAACUCCGAUUGCGAAGGCAGCUGUCUAAGUCAUUAUUGACGCUGAUGCACGAAAGCGUGGGGAUCGAACAGG